rnacentral:rRNA from 1 species
ACCUUAGCAAUGUGCGAAAGCACGACUGGGUCAGUCCGAGUGAUUCCUGAUAAAGGAGUCUUUUGCUUGUCCUAAAAGCACAGGUGAAUAAGGGGUGGGCAAGUCUGGUGUCAGCCGCCGCGGUAAUACCAGCACCUCGAGUGGUCAGGACGUUUAUUGGGCCUAAAGCAUCCGUAGCCGGCUUUGCAAGUCUUCGGUUAAAUCCACCUGCUCAACAGAUGGGCUGCUGGAGAUACUACAAAGCUAGGGAGUGGGAGAGGCAGACGGUAUUCAGUGGGUAGGGGUAAAAUCCUCUGAUCCAUUGAGGACCACCAGUGGCGAAGGCGGUCUGCCAGAACACGUUCGACGGUGAGGGAUGAAAGCUGGGGGAGCAAACCGGAUUAGAUACCCGGGUAGUCCCAGCUGUAAACGAUGCAAACUCGGUGAUGCAUUGGCUUAUGGCCAAUGCAGUGCCGCAGGGAAGCCGUUAAGUUUGCCGCCUGGGAAGUACGGACGCAAGUCUGAAACUUAA